rnacentral:rRNA from 1 species
AACGAACGCUGGCGGCGUGCCUAACACAUGCAAGUCGAACGAGAAAGGGGCUUCGGCUCCGAGUAAAGUGGCGCACGGGUGAGUAACACGUGGGUAACCUGCCUCUAAGAUUGGGAUAACUCGUCGAAAGAUGAGCUAAUACCGGAUAAGACCACAGUUCCCGCGGGAACAGGGGUCAAAGGUAGCCCCUGCUUGCACGCUAUCACUUAGAGAUGGGCCUGCGCACCAUUAGCUAGUUGGUAGGGUAACGGCCUACCAAGGCAAAGAUGGUUAGCUGGUCUGAGAGGUUGAUCAGCCACACUGGAACUGAGGCACGGUGCAGACUCCUGCGGGAGGCAGAAGUGGGGAAUAUUGCGCAAUGGGCGAAAGCUUGACGCAGCAACGCCGCGUGAGUGAUGAAGGCCUUCGGGUCGUAAGGCUCUGUCGGGAGGAACGAAUGCUCCCAAGGUUAACAGCCUCGGGAGGUGACGGUACCUUCAAAGGAAGCACCGGCUAACUCUGUGCCAGCAGCCGCCGUAAAAC